GCUCGUAGUCGAAUUUGGACCCGAUCUGUAGGAUGACUCAGAUGANUCUUUGGCAUAUCGGGUCCUAUUUUGUCAUCACCGGACUCACUCAAAAUUGGGUAGUUAGAUAGGUGACAUUUUUUACUGUGAACAAAAUAGAGUGUUCAUGGCAGGCCUUUGAAAGGCUUAGAUACCUCAGCAUGGAAUAAUAGAAUAGGACUUCCGGUUCUA
rnacentral:rRNA from 1 species